rnacentral:lncRNA from 1 species
UCUCUUACCAAUGGAGGUAUCUUAUAUGUAUAUAAACCCAUGUCCAUAUCUUGUUUUAUCUGAUGUGGGACUUUGUUUGUAUCCUAACAAUCCUCCCCUCAAACAAAGGAUUAUGAUUCUCCACCUCCCUUACAGCGGAAGUCUUUUCGUAUCCGAGUACACUACACAACCCAUGGUCAUGCCACUGAGCAUUUUUUGCUUUCUACCUCCCAUGAUUCGUCUGGCUAUCUGCCACCGACCACAAAUCUCCCCUUCAAGGGUGAUUCCCUUCCACAUUGGUACACUCCCCCUCUAACGGAAGCAUUCCCAACCAUGAGUACCCCUUUUAUAUC